ensembl:lncRNA
GCGCUAGGCGCUAGGUGGUGAGCGCUAGGCGCUAGGUGGUGAGCGCUAGGCGCUAGGUGGUGAGCGCUAGGCGCUAGGUGGUGAGCGCUAGGCGCUAGGUGGUGAGCGCUAGGCGCUUGGUGGUGAGCGCUAGGCGCUAGGUGGUGAGCGCUAGGUGGAGAGCGCUAGCGGAAGAUCGGAGGGAGGGAGCAGCAGCUCUUCUAACGGUGAAUGAAACAACGAUCCACCUCCCAGGCUCCUCUGCUCUGCAAGCAGAGAGGACAUCGGGCCAGCUGAGUCCUCCAGGCUCCCGCAAAUAACAAGCAGUAAAUAAUUCAACAGAGCACACACACACACACACACACGCACACGCACGCGCACACACACACGCACACACACACACACGCACACGCACACACACACACUGGAGGAGAGAGAGAGAGAGAGAGUGGCGAGGGGAAGAAAUACAACAACAAAACAAAUAUGAGAUGAGCUCAGAGUGUUCAAAGAGCCGCGCAGUGUCAACACCCAAUCAUAUCCUGGCGGGGUAGUGAGCAGAGAGCAGAGAGAAUGGUGAUCCCUCCCUCCACCUCUAAUGAUGCAUGGAGAAGACUGGGGGGUGUGGUGGUGGGGGGGGGGUAUGUACAACCCUCAUCACUCAAAUUCAAACAUAAUUAAUCUAUGAGCAUUAACAAUCAGAUGACUGCAGGGUAUAGGAGAAGUAUAGCAGGUUUACACAACUACUGCUGUCCAGGUUUACACAACUACUGCUGUCCAGGUUUACACAACUACUGCUGUCCAGGUUUACACAACUACUGUUGUCCAGGUUUACACUACUACUGCUGUCCACUUUACACAACUACUGCUGUCCAGGUUUACACUACUACUGCUGUCCAGGUUUACACUACUACUGCUGUCCAGGUUUACACUGCUACUGCUAUCCAGGUUUACACUACUACUGCUGUCCAGGUUUACACUACUACUGCUGUCCAGGUUUACAC